rnacentral:rRNA from 1 species
CCUACGGGAGGCAGCAGUAAGGAAUAUUGGACAAUGGUCGCAAGACUGAUCCAGCCAUGCCGCGUGAAGGAUGAAGGCCCUAUGGGUUGUAAACUUCUUUUGUAUGGGAAAAAACCCUUCUACGUGUAGAAGGCUGAUUGUACCAUAAGAAUAAGGAUCGGCUAACUCCGUGCCAGCAGCCGCGGUAAUACGGAGGAUCCAAGCGUUAUCCGGAUUCAUUGGGUUUAAAGGGUGCGUAGGCGGAAUGAUAAGUCAGUGGUGAAAUCCUGCAGCUUAACUGCAGAACUGCCAUUGAUACUGUCAAUCUUGAGUACAUUUGAUGUGGGCGGAAUGUGUCAUGUAGCGGUGAAAUGCUUAGAUAUGACACAGAACACCGAUUGCGAAGGCAGCUCACAAAACUGUAACUGACGCUGAGGCACGAAAGCGUGGGUAUCAAACAGGAUUAGAUACCCUGGUAGUCCACGCUGUAAACUAUGAUUACUCGAUGUUUGCGAUACACUGUAAGCGUCUAAGCGAAAGCGAUAAGUAAUCCACCUGGGGAGUACGCUCGCAAGAGUGAAACUCAAAUGAAUUGACGG